rnacentral:rRNA from 1 species
UGCCAGACUCCUACGGGAGGCAGCAGUGGGGGAUAUUGCACAAUGGGGGAAACCCUGAUGCAGCGACGCCGCGUGUGGGAAGACGGUCCUCUGGAUUGUAAACCACUGUCCCCAGGGACGAAAGAAAUGACGGUACCUGAAUAAGAAGCCCCGGCUAACUACGUGCCAGCAGCCGCGGUAAUACGUAGGGGGCAAGCGUUAUCCGGAAUUACUGGGUGUAAAGGGUGAGUAGGCGGCAUGGUAAGCCAGAUGUGAAAGCCUUGGGCUUAACCCGAGGAUUGCAUUUGGAACUAUCAAGCUAGAGUACAGGAGAGGAAAGCGGAAUUCCUAGUGUAGCGGUGAAAUGCGUAGAUAUUAGGAAGAACACCAGUGGCGAAGGCGGCUUUCUGGACUGAAACUGACGCUGAGGCACGAAAGCGUGGGGAGCGAACAGGAUUAGAUACCCCAGUAACA